UCUUACCUUAAAAUAUUUUUUUCAUUGAUGUCAAUGUUCUAUUUGAGUUCUGAUUUAUUAGUUAAGAAAAAGAAGAAGAAGAAUUAGAAUUAGUCUCACUCUGUUUUUUGUUUCUUGUUUGGGGUGUUAAAGAAUAUGUCUUCAAUAAGAAUGCAUGGUGCAUUGGCAUCACAAUUUAUUUUGGUUUUGUUAUUUCUGGCAUCAUGUGUUGUUUGUUCCUUUGUUUGUUACUAUGUUGGGUAAAUGUGUCUGGAAUGUUUUAGAACAUCUCAUUUUUGUCUAAUUUUUGUUCUGUGUUCAGGUUUCAUCAUUUAGAGUGAGUCAGCACUCAGCAUAGCUGCCAAGAAUAGCAGUGGUGUUUUCUUGUGAAGAUGGUACUGGGAUUAAGAUCAAAGAGUAGAAAACGUGUUUCAAUCCAAGUUCACUACAUCAUCCAUGUUCUGGAGAUCAAGCCGUGGCCACCUUCACAAUCACUGAGAUCUGUUCAAUCAGUAUUUCUGCAAUGGGAAAAUGGUGAUAAAAAUUCUGGGUCUCUGCCAUCCACUGCUGGCAAUGGGAAAAUUGAAUUUAAUGAAUCUUUCAGGCUUUCAGUGCUUAUGUGUAGAGAAGCAUCCAAGAAAGGCAAACACCCUGAAAGUUUCCAGAAGAACUGCUUAGAGUUUUACUUGUAUGACAAGACAGUAAAGAGUCAACUGUUGGGAUCUGCCAUAGUAAACCUUGCAGAUUUUGGAAUUAUUAAGGAAACUAAAGCCUUAAGCAUUGUGUUUAACUGCAAGAAGAGUUUCAGGAAUUCUUCACAACCAUUUCUUUAUGUUACUAUUCAGCCAUUUGAUAUAGAGAGUUCCAGCUCAUCACCAAGCAGCAGCUUAUCAAAAGAAUUGUCACUAGAGAAGGAAGGAAGCGAAUCUGUAUCACAGUCACUAAAAGAUGAUGACGAUCUUGAAAUUGCCUCUUUUACUGAUGAUGACAGUGAUGACAUCCCUUCAAAUACCUCCCAAACUAGCAGAUCUGCUUCAGAGAUUACUGGAGACAGCACCAAAAUCAGCAGAGGAAGAGAAGGAUCUCAUGGAGAAUUUGUUCUACCCUCGGAAAGUACUACUGCUAGCUUAAAUGGAAACACAGAGGGUGAACCAUCCACACAAUUCAGUGGCAUCAAUUCUCCCUCUUCGUCUACAGUUCUGAGCUCAGAUGUGGGAAUUGCUGCCCAUGGAAGGCCUUUAUUACCUAAAAUCUCCGAGGAAAUUGUUAAACUUGCUGAUGCAAGUUCUGAAAUUCAAAAAAGCAUUCAACAAUAUUCUCCUUCAUACAUUUCAUCAAGUAUGAAACCCAACUUUGAAAGAUCUUUACAGCCUCAAGUGACUCAAGAGGAUAGCAUGACUCAAGAAGAUGGCACAAGAGAUCAGAGAUUUAAUAAAGAUUCUCUGGAGAAAGUUAGUAAUGUUUCUAAAACUGGAGUUCUGGAUGACAAAGAGAAAAUGAAGGAGGGAAGGAAAGGACAAGAACAGUUUACUAUGAGGAAUGAACUUUUAGAAAAUGAGCUCGUUAAGAAUUCAUCUGAUGAUGGUUCUAUAAAGAAAGGGAAAUUCAAUAGUACUACUCUUCUGCUAAACAAGAAAACACAUGAACAUCCAAUGAGUAUUUUGAUGAAUGAUAAAACAGAGGAUGUGACAAAUGUGAAGUCUCCUCCACAAUCUUCUGAGAACUAUGGGAUGUUCAUCAGCAAUCAGAACUUUGAAAGAUCUUUACAGUCUCAAGUGACUCAAGAGGAUAGCAUGACUCAAGAAGAUGGCACAAGAGAUCGGAGAUUUAAUAAUGAUUCUCUGGAAAAAGUUAGCAGUGUUUCUAAAACUGGAGUUAUGGAUGACAAAGAGAAAAUGAAGAAGGGAAGGAAAGGACAAGAACAGUUUACUAUGAGGAAUGAACUUUUAGAGAAUGAGCUCGUUAGUAAUUUAUCUGACGAUGGUUCUACAAAGAAAGGGAAAUUCAAUAGUACUACUUUUCUGCUAAACAAGAAAACACAUGAACAUCCAACAAGUAUUUUGAUUGAUGAUAAAACAGUGGACGUGACAAAUGUAAAGUCUCCUCCACAAUCUGCUGAGAACUAUGGGAUGUUCAGCAGCAAUCAGACCCAUAUUCAGGCAGAGGAAAUUAAUACCACAAAUGAUGUUCAUGUUGGUACUUCUUGCCAUGAAGAUGUUAAUGUGAAUGGAAGCUUUCUUAACAAUGAAACUGAAUUGAAGGCUGAAGUUGAAAUGCUUCAAGAAGAGCUAAGGGAAGCUGCUGCUCUUGAAGUUUCAAUGUACUCAGUUAUUGCUGAACAUGGUAGCUCAUCAAACAAGGUCCAUGCACCUGCUCGACGCCUUUCUAGAUUCUAUUUCCAUGCUUGUAGAGUUGGGUCCCCAGAUACAAUGGCUAGUGCAGCCCAGAGUGCUGUCUCAGGAUUUGUUUUGGUUUCUAAGGCAUGUGGAAAUGAUGUUCCAAGGUUGACAUUUUGGUUCUCAAAUUUAAUAUUGCUGAGAGCAAUUGUGAGCAAAGAAGUUGAACGUGAUGGAAAUGGUAACACUCUUCACAAAGAAGAAAAACCUUUUCAUAGCUGGGAGGAUCCAGAAACAUUUUUAGUUGCAUUGGAAAAGGUUGAAGCAUGGAUAUUCUCUCGAAUUGUUGAGUCUGUGUGGUGGCAGACUCUUACACCAUAUAUGCAAUCUGCAGCUGCUAAGAGCUCUAGCUCUAGGAAAGCCUAUGAGAAAAGAUAUCGUGUUGGUGAUCAAGAUCAGGGAAAUUUUUCUAUUGAUUUAUGGAAAAGAGCUUUCAAGGAUGCAUGUGAAAGGAUUUGCCCUCUUCGAGCUGGAGGGCAUGAGUGCGGCUGCUUGCCUGUGAUAGCUAGAUUGGUGAUGGAGCAGUUGGUUAGUAGACUUGAUGUGGCAAUGUUCAAUGCUAUUCUUCGUGAAUCCGCUGAAGAGAUGCCCAUGGAUCCUAUAUCUGACCCCAUUAGUGAUUCUAAGGUUCUUCCUAUUCCAGCUGGAAAAUCAGGCUUUGGGGCUGGUGCACAACUGAAGAAUGCUUGAUGCAGGUAGUGCAUGUUGGGCGAUGAAGUGCUAAUAAAAUAAAAAAUGAAUGUAGCAGAAAUGAGCAUGCUGAGGUGAAUGAGUGCGUACACAAGAAAAGAGAGUAGGAAUGAAUGUAUGUAUCCAUGAGUGUUAUAAUAGCAUCAACUGAAGAGAAGAUGAUGGAAACUCGCUUAGUUUGAUCUUGUGAGAAGAAGACCAGUAGAGGCUUCAGUGAGAAAAGUGAAUCAAAUGGAAGUUAGUCCAAUCAAAAAAGGUGGAGAAAGACCUAAGAAAACUUGAGAAACCAUCUAGUAAGACCUUCCGCUAAAUGGCUUAACUGAAAAUUUGGUUCUUGAUAGAGCUUAAUUUCAUAGUCGUAGAUGCAUCCAUGUAGCCAACUAUACCUAAUAAAAUAAGUUUGGUUGCAAUUCCAUGAAGGAUGUCAUAUGUGAUGGUCGCUCUCUUGGGUAACUUUUUAUUAUCUGUACUCAGAUUGGUGACUGGUCAAGAUGGCUUUCAGAUUUAUUUAGCAUUGAUGAUAGUGACUCACGUGAAGUUAUCAAUGAAAACAAUGAACCCAAAUGUGAACCAUCCUUCAAACCUUUCCAAUUCCUUAAUGCAUUAAGUGAUUUAAUGAUGCUUCCUUUGGACAUGCUUGCAGAUGGGUCCAUGAGAAAAGAGGUUUGUCCAAAAUUUGGUAUAUCAUUAAUGAAACGAGUUGUCUACAAUUUUGUUCCCGAUGAAUUCUCCCCAGGACCUAUCCCUGAUGCUGUUUUCGAGGCCCUGGACGAGGAUAUUGAGGAUGAUGAAGGGGCCAUUACAAGCUUUCCAUGCUCUGCUGGUUCCACGUUCUAUGAACCACCUCCAGCUUCUUCAGUUGUGGGCAUGCUACAAGAAGUGGGAACCAAAACUUCACUGAGAAGUGGGUCAUUUGUGCUCAAAAAAUUAUAUACCAGUGAUGAUGAACUUGAUGAAUUGGAUUCACCACUUUCUGCUCUUGGCAUGGAUGACUCAUCACUUUUGUCCAAGGAACUAGUUAAGGGAGGCCGUAAGGUUGUACGAUAUGAGCUCUUGCGAGAAGCGUGGAAGACCAGUGAAUGAUGUUCCUAUCAAUGUGUUCUUUUUUUUUUCUUCUUGUAUAUAAUAUGUGUAUCUAAAAUUUAGCCCGAUAUAUUUUGUAUUUUUUUUUAAAUAAAAAUCUUGGUCUUACAAUCUUGUACUUUUUAUACCCAUAAAAGUUGCAAGGAAGUUCCUGUAAUUUGCAUUGA